GGAGAGGUCGCCUAGAGGCCUAUGGCGCGGCACUGGAAAUGCCGUUCGGGGCAACCCGUCGAGGGUUCGAAUCCCUCCCUCUCCGCCA
rnacentral:tRNA from 2 species